rnacentral:rRNA from 1 species
ACGUAGGGGGCAAGCGUUGUCCGGAUUUACUGGGUAUAAAGGGAGCGCAGGCGGACCUGUCAGUCAGGGGUGAAAUCCUACAGCUUAACUGUAGAACUGCCUUUGAUACUGCAGGUCUUGAGAUCGGAAGAGAGAGACGGAAUUCCAGGUGUAGUGGUGAAAUACGUAGAUAUCUGGAAGAACACCGAUGGCGAAGGCAGUCUCUUGGUCCGCAUCUGACGCUGAGGCUCGAAAGCGUGGGGAGCAAACAGG